UGACCACAUCACGUUGAAACACCAGUUGCUGUAUGAUCUGCAAAGUUAAGCAACAUCAGGCCGGGUCAGUACCUAGGUGGGUGACCACUUGGGAAUACCAGGUGCUGUAAG